rnacentral:miRNA from 1 species
AACAUCUUCUUACCAAAAAGUGCAAAGGUAAGGAGAUACGUUCUGCGCAUGCGCAGGCCUAUCUCCUUAAAUACGCAUAAUUUGUUAAAAGGAUAUUAAGCAAAGUUGUAGCCCUCAUCAAGACAAACAACUUUCGUUAACAUCUUCUUACCAAAAAGUGCAAAGGUAAGGAGAUACGUUCUGCGCAUGCGCUGCGCUAUCUCCUUAAAUACGCAUAAUUUGUUAAAAGGAUAUU